AUCUUCCACAAUGGACGAAAGUCUGAUGGAGCAACGCCGCGUGAGCGAAGAAGGUCUUCGGAUCGUAAAACUCUGUCCUUGGGGAAGAAGGUCUUCGGACUUGACGGUACCUAAGGAGGAAGCCUCGGCUAACUACGUGCCAGCAGCCGCGGUAAUACGUAGGGGGCAAGCGUUGUCCGGAAUUAUUGGGCGUAAAGGGUGCGUAGGCGGCCUUUUAAGUCAGAUGUGAAAGCCCACGGCUUAACCGUGGGACUGCAUUUGAAACUGGAGGGCUUGAGUAUCGGAGAGGGUAGUGGAAUUCCCAGUGUAGCGGUGGAAUGCGUAGAUAUUGGGAGGAACACCAGUGGCGAAGGCGACUACCUGGACGAAAACUGACGCUGAGGCACGAAAGCUAGGGGAGCAUACAG
rnacentral:rRNA from 1 species